UAAUUGUCCAGUUUUAACAAAUCGCAUUCGAGUUUUUUUUUAUUAAACGUUGGCAACAUUGAUUCAUAGAGUUUCGUAACUUCACGAUAAAAAUACGUAAAUGCUUCCAUUUAAAAUGUUUAUAAACAAUGUAAACAAUAGAAUAACGGUGGAAGUAUUAAUUGUUUAGGAUUGUUUACGAUGAAAUUAGUAAAAUUGAAACAAAAUACCAACAAUGAAUUACUGUUGAGGAUAAUAUUCGAUAAAUUUAUUGAGUGUUAAAUUCAGCGAAUUGUGUAAGAAGAAAAAAUGGAUGAUUUGAUCAAGAAUCAACAGGCAGUUAAUAAAUUAAGGAAGAUUACAAAUUUAUUUGAUAUUUAGUGAAUAUUAUUGUUAUAUUAUAAUAAUAGACAUAAUCUGUCAUCACCUGAGUCAUUUUGGUCAGUUGGAGUUGAAGAAACUCGAUAAGUAUACGAACUUUUUUUUUCCAAAAAAGUGUUUUGAAAUUCAAAAUAAUAUAAAAUGAGAAUUUUUAAUUUUACAAGAAAAUAUUUUACUAAAUUGAAAAAUUAAUUCUUAAGUUUGUGCCCAAGUGUUCACAGGAAAAAUAAGAAAAAAAUCGUCAAAAAAAAAUUCUCAUUGCAAAUAUUCGAAUUUUUGGCAGAAACUUUUGUAAAUAUUUAUUCAAUUCUUCUUUGGAACAUCGUAUUUUUUUCCUGGAAAAUUUCUUCAAAAUGAAACCUCUAGUCAAAAAUUCAACAAUAAUUCUAAUUAUUCUUCUCAUCGAAAGCACCGUAACUUGUAAAAAUUACAAUUCAUCAAAUAAUA